AUGAUUGCUCUUAUCGGUAUGGCUCCUACCGAGGAGGAGGGAGAAGAGAAGAAGAAGAGGGAAAGGAAGGCAGCCGGAGCUGCUUUCAUGUGGAUUCAAAAUAACUUUGCGACGUGCCCUCCGGAUGCAACUGAUGAUGUGAUCCAGACACAUGCUCGUGUGUAUAUGUGGUACAUUGUGUCGAGGACUUUGUUUCCUGACUCCACUGGCAAGAACGCUCCAUGGAUGUGGCUGAAGGCGUUGACCGUCUUCGAUAGCAAAUGGAGCUGGGGUUCAGCGACUCUUGCCUACUUGUACCGACAGGUAGUUGGUCUGUUUUGUGAUCAACUCAUUUAUUCAUUAGCAAUGCAAGCUUGCUGUCAAGUUAACAUUGUUUUUCUUUCAUAUGUAGCUGGAUGA
rnacentral:rRNA from 1 species